rnacentral:rRNA from 1 species
CUUGGUCAUUUAGAGGAAGUAAAAGUCGUAACAAGGUUUCCGUAGGUGAACCUGCGGAAGGAUCAUUACAGAGUUCAUGCCCUUACGGGUAGAUCUCCCACCCUGUGAGUACUAUACUUUUGUUGCUUUGGCAGGCCGCUUCGGCUACCGGCUUCGGCUGGUGAGUGCCUGCCAGAGGACCCCAAAUUCUGAAUUAUAGUGUCGUCUGAGAACUAUAUAAUAGUUAAAACUUUCAACAACGGAUCUCUUGGUUCUGGCAUCGAUGAAGAACGCAGCGAAAUGCGAUAAGUAGUGUGAAUUGCAGAAUUCAGUGAAUCAUCGAAUCUUUGAACGCACAUUGCGCCCCUUGGUAUUCCAUGGGGCAUGCCUGUUCGAGCGUCAUUUGUACCUUCAAGCUCUGCUUGGUGUUGGGUGUUUGUCUCGCCUUUGCGUGUAGACUCGCCUCAAAACAAUUGGCAGCCGGCGUAUUGAUUUCGGAGCGCAGUACAUCUCGCGCUUUGCACUCAUAACGACGACGUCCAAAAGUACAUUUUUACACUCUUGACCUCGGAUCAGGUAGGGAUACCCGCUGAACUUAAGCAUAUCAAUAAGCGGAGGAAAAGAAACCAACAGGGAUUGCCCCAGUAACGGCGAAUCCCGCGG